ACACUCCUCAUCCUCCAAAUCCAAUAUAGGUGAGUCAGGACAGGCUAAUGUCCUCCAUGUCCUGAUCCUCAGUGCCCCCUGUACAUUCUGGUUUUCAUGGAAGUCCAGUUUUUGAGCAACUGUCACUGCGUUUGAUUUAAUGUGAUUGACGGCUUUUCAUCGCUUUUUAGAAUCUAUCUUGUGUUGAGUAUUAGCCUCCACAGCCCUGAACACAGUGUAUUUGGAACACUAUUGCCAUGUUAGCUCUCAAACCAACAGACAUGUUGGAGACACUAGUAGCCUAGUUGUUGUUGGUAGUAGAUUGUCAGGUAUUAUAGCUCCAUAUUCAAAUGCCAGCUCAGUCAUUUGAAUGUCCCCUGGUUGUUCCUCUUGCGUUGUGACCAACCCAGAGCGUUCAUAGAGUUCAUAGAUUGCACAGUCAGAUUAAAGUUUCCAGGAGAACUGACCGUUGUGCAUGGCUUUGUUAAUGGAAAUUACUAGAGCAAGCUCGAGAAGUCAAAAAUGCACUAGUUUAGUGUUAUCUUGAUUUACAGUGUUGUGUUGACCUUUACCUUUCUGAACCCUCAGAGGAUUUUGAGUCCAAGUUUGACUUCCACCCAGUGGAGGACUUCCCACCCCCUGAGGAAUAUAGGAAUUUCACCAAGAUCUACCCCAGCAAAAGCAAUAAGCCUGGACCAGGCAUGAUCCGAGGAGUACCUCCAGCGCCACCGGUGGCAAGGUGAACUAUGGAAUUCAGGAACAAAAUGACUUUAAUUAAUAACUCAGUCUAAUCAGAGGACGUCCAGGGGAGUGGCAUGACACUCGAAACACAUACAGGUCUAAACAUAGACACUUUAUAAGACCAGCCGGAAACAAGUCCUCAACCCCAAACAUUAUAGAAAAUUCAAUAGUCUUGUUCGACGCUACGUUUUUACAAAACCCUACACUACCAGUCGCUCUCUUUUGCACAAACACUUCAGACACUUCUGUUUCAGCAUGAUAGAACAAAACCACUCUGAACUGAGGUGCUGAAGAACAGACCUGUUUGACUGUUGUGGCCACAAGCCAAUCUUUCUGCAAGAUGGGGGGGGGGGGGCGUUGCAUUGAUUAUACUUUAUAGCAGCAGGACCAACUAAGAAUUCUGCAUUUCAUCUUUUGAAAUGUGUGCAUAAUCCACGAUAAUAAUGAUGUUGAUGAUUUCCUGCGAUUUAUGAAUGAUGUUUUUAAAAUGUUCUAUGUUUAACUGCAGUAACUGUGCCGUCAGUGGGGAAAUAUAGGACACACACCAACGUUGCCAACAAUGCGUUGUAUCAAUAGUACGUGGUUGUUUUUUUUUAAAAUGCCGUGCUCCCAGUGCCCUGAGGAGAAGGUGUGUGUGGAAUAGAAUUCUCUCCCUUGAUGUGCCAAUAGUUGGGUGAAGUAGAAUGAGGGGCCUCUCACACUUAGAAAAGCUGUCGUUUACGUCACACAGAUAUGGCUUCGUUUUUUGGUAUCUCGUUUUUCAUUACUUUGAGUAAUGAAACGGGGACAGGAGAAAUGACUUAAAUGCUUGUCAUGCUAUGAGAGAUUGAGUCUUGCUGACAGUGAGUAACAGUCUUUACAUUGUGUGAGGGGCAUUCCCAAUUAGAUAUGUUUAAUUCUUCCUCAUGGCAUUGCUCUGUGGCAGCAUAACCGCUUAACCGUGGCACCUGUGAAUGCCAUGUUUUUACACUAGAGAACAGAAAGUGCUGCUCAGAUCGGUUGCAUUCUAGGUUUAUCUGAAACAAAAACACUACGAAAUGCUUCAGGGAUCUGCUGCCCCUCUUUAAUUAGCGUUAGCUGCCAAAGCUCCUUUACUUUAUUGAUCAAGGAAGGCGUUUGAGAGUACUGUAUGAAAUUCUACUUUCACUUUGUUCAAUGCUGUUCCUGUUUCUUGCCACAAGGGGGUGAUCAUGGUUAAAUUAUUACCCUCGUUCCUUUCUUUGGACCAAGGGUAGCUUUGCAGGGCUGUCAGUCAUUCAACCCUGUCUUUCAGGAGUUCCUUCAAGGAACAUUUUUUUUUUAAUACAUUCUUUUUAAAACUAAAAUAUUUGAUUUUACUGCUGGUGGCCCUUUUGGAAUAGACCUUAUCAUGGCCACAGGGAAACCAUAGUACUUGAGUUUUUAAUGCAUUCCUAUGCAAGGAACGGUUUUGUAUGUAUUCUCACUUCUCGUUGGUAGCAACUAACCAAAAAGGAAACGCCUAAGUGCCAGAAGAAUGUGUAGGGCGAAGUUGCUCCUAGAAGCUGAUUUGGGGUCAGUUUUCCAUAUUCCCUACUAAUGGUUAAGGUUAGGAUUGGGGAAGGGAAUCUUAUCCUAGAUCUGUACCUAGGUGAAACAUCACCUGGAGCACCAGGGAACUAUUUAGGCAGAGUAGGCCCCAGAAAUGUCAUCAUGGUGGAUUAUAUAAUUUUUAUGACUUAUGAGCUCCUAAAUGUGUGAUACCUAUACUGUCAUUGCAUUGUGAUUUCUGUUACGAUUCCACUACAGUGAAAGAAAGCUACAUGAGAAUCGAUUCCUUUUCUCUUCUCCAUUCCUGUUAUGUAGUCCUCAGGCUGGUUGUUGCCUUACAUAUCUAUUGUCAUACUUAUUGGUACCAGUGCAUUUGUAAAAAAAAAUAUAUAUAUAUAUAAUAAUUUUUAAUUAUACUCACUUUUUGUAUUAAAUAUGCAAUAAAUAAUGUCUAUUUACAUAAAGAAUGAGGAAUUUGGAAAUUGUAGUUAUUGAUAUUUUAAUGUUUGUAAAAAGCUUGUUAUAUAGGGAGGAAUUUGAUGAAAAAGUUGAUCAACAGGCCAGUUGUGAGCUUUGUCCGACAGCCAGAGAGACGGGUCUCUUUGCAGCACUUCUCUGUAUGCCUGACUGUGUGUGUAACUUAUGUAAUUGAUGGAUAUGUUCAGUCUCACACAGGUGACUCAUUGACUGUGAUUCUCAUGUUCUCACCCUGUUCAUUCCUACCAUGGUCAUUUCACUUGUUAAUCAACCAUGUUUUAUCAUUUGAAAUAAAUAUGUGUUUUUUCGGGGGAAAAGGGGUA